GCUGACCAGCCAAGUAGCGUGCAGGAUGACGGCCCUAUGGGUUGUAAACUGCUUUUAUACGGGGAUAAAGUGAGCCACGUGUGGUUUAUUGCAGGUACCGUAUGAAUAAGGACCGGCUAAUUCCGUGCCAGCAGCCGCGGUAAU
rnacentral:rRNA from 1 species